GCUUAACACAUGCAAGUCGAGGGGUAGAGUUCUUCGGAACUUGAGACCGGCGCACGGGUGCGUAACGCGUAUGCAAUCUACCUUUUACAGAGGGAUAGCCCAGAGAAAUUUGGAUUAAUACCUCAUAGUAUAGUACAACCGCAUGGUUGAACUAUUAAAGUCACAACGGUAAAAGAUGAGCAUGCGUCCCAUUAGCUAGUUGGUAAGGUAACGGCUUACCAAGGCUACGAUGGGUAGGGGUCCUGAGAGGGAGAUCCCCCACACUGGUACUGAGACACGGACCAGACUCCUACGGGAGGCAGCAGUGAGGAAUAUUGGACAAUGGGCGCAAGCCUGAUCCAGCCAUGCCGCGUGCAGGAUGACGGUCCUAUGGAUUGUAAACUGCUUUUAUACGAGAAGAAACACUCCGACGUGUCGGAGCUUGACGGUAUCGUAAGAAUAAGGAUCGGCUAACUCCGUGCCAGCAGCCGCGGUAAUACGGAGGAUCCAAGCGUUAUCCGGAAUCAUUGGGUUUAAAGGGUCCGUAGGCGGUUUAAUAAGUCAGUGGUGAAAGCCCAUCGCUCAACGGUGGAACGGCCAUUGAUACUGUUAAACUUGAAUUAUUAGGAAGUAACUAGAAUAUGUAGUGUAGCGGUGAAAUGCUUAGAGAUUACAUGGAAUACCAAUUGCGAAGGCAGGUUACUACUAAUGGAUUGACGCUGAUGGACGAAAGCGUGGGUAGCGAACAGGAUUAGAUACCCUGGUAGUCCACGCCGUAAACGAUGGAUACUAGCUGUUGGAAGCAAUUUCAGUGGCUAAGCGAAAGUGAUAAGUAUCCCAC
rnacentral:rRNA from 1 species